GUAAAUUAGGGAUACUGAGAAAUACAUAGCCAAAAUUGGGCAUCAAUGGCGUGUAUGGAGUGAAUGAUGCAACCGACCCUGUAUUCA
rnacentral:ncRNA from 20 species